GGGGAUUUAGCUCAGUGGUAGAGCACUUGCCUAGCAAGCUCAAGGCCCUGGGUUUGGUCCCCAGCUCCGGAAAAAAAAAAAAAAAAAGGAAAGGCACCUGAUGCCCAACUGGUGGUCUGAGUUCGAUCCCCGGAAUCCACA
rnacentral:tRNA from 1 species